rnacentral:tRNA from 1 species
GGGCGGAUGGUGAAAUGGCAGACACGCAGGCUUUAGGAGCCUGUGACCGCAAGGUCGUGGAGGUUCAAGUCCUCUUCCGCCCA